AGCGCAAUUUCCGGUUUCCCAUCCACCUCGCGCAGGAGCUUCCGGCGAGGCCUCGGGGAAACCAUAGAUGGCCCACUGGAGGGCUGGAGAGCUAGAGAGGACGAGUUCUCCCCACCAUAGAGUAGACCCUCUUCCGGCGGACAGAGUGGCGAGGCCUAGACCGCGGGGAGCCUGAGGGCUCCGGAGCGAAGCCGCGAGGUCUGGUGCUAUUUGCAGACGCGUCUUAGGAGGAUGAGGAAUCAGACGACACCGUCUUAAAACUGAGAAGGGUCGGCGCUGAUUUGUGUUGGAAGUUGUGGAGACGAUUGACACGGUGAUGAAUCACACUGUUCAGUAUAAUCACCACCAGCUACAUGUGGCCUGAAAGGUGCUUAGUCCAAAUGGAGACGUGCACAUCACGAUUGAAAUACACAUCAGAUUGAAAGUCUUUGUAGGAAAAAAUAAUGCGAAAUAUCUCAUUGAUGAAGUUUAGGUUGAUUCCACACCCAAAUGAUACUUUGGAUAUGUUGGGUUGAAUAAAAUAUAUUUAACUUCA